AAAACCUUAUUAGGAAAACCCUGUGGGAUAAAAACCUAGUGAAGGAAAAAGAGUACAUCGUUCUUUAUAAUACGCUUGAGAUGUUGCCUCAUUAACAACCUUACAAGAAAAACCCAGUAGACAAAAUCUUGGUUAAGGGAAAAAGAGUGCAACACGUAUUUCUCCCCAUGAUGAAUACAUCAAUUGAGAUCUUCUUGUGCAAUCUAUCCAAUACAAAUUUUUUAAAACGACCGUCUUAAUGGUCAGACCACUCAAGUCGCGGGUCAGUUCAUGGGUCGAACAAUUCGUGGGUUUUAAUUGGCGGGUCAUAUAAAUAUCUAUUUUCAACUUGUUUCUAAGCCCUAAUUGAUUUCCCUCUUUCCUCAAACUCCCUGCUUCUUUCUCUCUCCUCAAACCCUAAUUGCACGGCUGGCCGGGAGGCACAACCACGGAGAGGUGGGCAACGAUCUCUCGUUGAUUACUCAUCCGCACCGCCGAUCUCUACAAAACCUCCUCCGCCAAUGGGCUACUUGUUUCGUUCCUGCGUCGACGAUAAUGUCGAGAAUGAAGCGGCGAUUAGCGGUGGCUUCGGCGAUGGAACAAAUGUGAAGGUGGCUUCGGCGGUGGUUGUACGUCGAAGAGCGCAUAACUAUCGGAUCCAUCGUUGUAAUCGAGGCACACACCAACCUCUACCCCCUCGCAUCUGGCCUAGUGGUUUGUGGUGGCAGAAGCUCCUGUUGUUGGAUAUUGUUGUUCGAUAGCUGUUCUUUGUAGUUGUAAUUCGUUUCAGUUAAAAAUUAAUUCAUUUUAGUUAAGAAUUUAUUUGUUUUAAUUGACAAUAACUUUGUUUUGUUAUUUAUAGUUUUUUUAGAAUAGUUUAAUUUUAGUUAUACUUUUUAUAUAUUUAGUUAAGAAUAUUUUCGUUUUAGUUAAUAAUUAUAUUGGUUUAUUUGUGAUUAAAUUUGCUUCGGCUAUGUAUACAUUCGUUUUAGUUACAA